GGUGGGGUAGCUCAGUUGGAUAGAGCGCGGGACUGACAGUCCUGAGGUCGGGGGUUCGAGGCCCUCCCCCUCCUCCA
rnacentral:tRNA from 1 species